rnacentral:misc_RNA from 1 species
AAGUCGUAACAAGGUCUCCGUUGGUGAACCAGCGGAGGGAUCAUUACUGAGUGUAACAACUCCCAAACCUUUGUGAACCCUACCAAUCGUUGCUUCGGCGGCUCGUCCCCGGCAGCACUCCCCCCCGGGGGAGGCGCGGCCGGGCUCCGGGCGGUCCGCCGAGGGCUACCCGAACUCUUGUUUCCUACAGCGGGCUUUCUGAGUAAUGUUUUACAAAAAUGAAAUACAACUUUCAGCAAUGGAUCUCUUGGCUCUG